CUUUUAUAUGAUUUCUAAACUAUUUCUUUUGGCAGAAAAAUUGAUGUUAUGCUGUACUUAAAUGUUCCAAUAGUGUUUGUUUUGUCGAUGCAUCAGUAUAUAAGUGCAGCAAUAACUCAGGAUGAGCCAAGAUACACAUGCUCUUACAUAACUGUUCUUUGCAUUAUCAUAACACUAACAUUUCAAUAGCAGUUUUGUUUUUAAUAAAAAUAAGCUUGGAUUUUGUGUUUCAGGGAAAGCAACAAAAGGCAACAGAAAACUUCAAGUCAUGCAAGAAAAGAAGAAAAAGAAAAUGAAAACAAAAGCCAGUUCACUUCCAGACAUCUCCAUUCUUAAAACGUUCAUGAAAACCUAUGAAAGGCAUUGUGCCCUUUCCCAAAGCUCUGUCAGUGUCACAAUCAAACAGAGUUUAAAAAGAUGCCUAGGGAAUGAAAUAGCUCUUACUAAGUUUGUGCUUACAAGCUCUGAGAACUCAAAAGGAGAUGUGCAGCCAGUCUCCCUCACUCCCUUACUAAGGACAAUUAGAGAUGAACGUUAUAUGUUGGGAAAGGAACUUUGUGUCUGGGGAAUACAGCUAAGCAAUCAAGAUAUUGCAAACCUUGCACUGCUUUUGGAGCAGGAUGGAUGUACCACCUACCCUUUCUGUAGCCUAGAAAUCAUACAUACUGUAAUAGAUGCAUGGUCUGUGGAACGACUUGGAGCAGCUUUGCCUGUCAGCAACUUGAGCUCUAUUGUACUGGAUUAUACUAAGUUUGGAGAUAAAAGAAUCAAUGGACUUGUUUCUGGCUUAAAGGGCAACAGAAAACUUUUAACUCUCAGCCUAUGCUACUGCAAUUUGGGACCUGAAAGUGGGACAGAGUUAGGCCCCAUUGUGGCCCAAACUGCCAUUUGCAAUCUGUAUCUGAAUGGUAACAACUUGCAAUGCUUGGGUGCCCUUGAACUCAUCAAGCCAAUAGCUGUGUAUGCGAACAAUCUUGCAAGAGAUAAGGAAACAAAUACCAUGAAAUUCAGCAAUGCUACUGGACAUCAGAUGCAUGAAGUAGGCAAAGGUUUAAAUGUGCAUUCAGCAGCUUCUGGCAUGAACAUUACCCCCAAAACAACAAGGUCUAAUACAACAGAAAGUAUUAUUGGAUCUAAAAAAAGAAAAAAGAAUCCAGAAAUUGGUUCAUGGUUAGUUAAAUUACGUUUGGCUGACAAUGGCAUAGAUGGAAGAGGAAAAGGAGGACAAAAUAUGGUCUUGGAGUUCACGCAGUUUUUAAUUUACCUAAUCAAGUACUCUGAACACUUAAUGGAACUAGACCUGGAUGGCAAUGCUAUUGGAGAACUUUGUUCAGCUGACGUAAAGGAUGCUCUUAAGGAGAGACUAAAUGCAAAGAUGCCCAACUUAACCAUUAAGGUUACAUACCAGAUUUCCUCAGAAACUUUUGGAUCUAUUUUCAAGAAUGGCAAGAAGUCCAAGUCAACUAGAAAGAAAAAGAAAAAGACAACAAAGUGAUUGUUAAGACUACAUUUUCCUGCAGAUGGGACUGUGUACAAAAAAAAAUAAUAUACUUCAGCAGAUUAUUUCUUAACAUGGCUCUCUGCCUUUCUAAAUACUACAGUUUUUGUGUGUAAUUUUUUUCAAUUUACUCCAUCGUAUAGGAAUAAAAUACAAAACAUUAUUGUAUGAAACA
ensembl:lncRNA uncharacterized LOC109308599